UCCAUGAGCACCCGGAGCCGCAGAGGCAGGACAAAAGUUGUGAGUAUCCAAAGCUCGGGCAGCUGCCAGCAGUGGAGCCGCCGGGGCGACGACCACCAUGCGGAGACCGGCGCGACCUUCUGAGACGCAGCUGGACCCGCCCAGUUCGGCGCCCGGGUCAUUCUAGGGUCUGGGGCAGCGGCGGGGGCCGCGGGCGGGUGGCGUGAACCCAACCGCUGCAGGAUGCCCUCCAAACACAGGGCCCCAGGGCUGUGCGCUGCUGAGCAGAGCCAUAGAAGACCAAGAAGGCCACUGACAUCAUAGACAGAUUGCUCUUACUGUGAACUCUCUUCCUGUGACAUGUCACAUCCUCAGAGCAGAGAUCGCCCUCCUGGAAGAAACCCGUGUUUUGUGAGGCAUUCAAAUUCACAAUCCAGAGGCACUUAACAAGGCAAUUCCCACCGGUGACCACUGACCCUUACAGAUGAAGCCUCAAAAGAGUGUGUUUGGUUUUUUCAAGGAGCAUGGAAAAGCCAGAACUCAAAUUCUUUCUAUGAAGGAAGAAGAGAUGAGGGAGAGAGAGAGUGAAGAUGCCCAUGCAGCCUCAGGUCCUAAGAGCAUCAUCCAACAAUAUGAACAGGAUCCGCCCCUCCAACGCCUUCCUGGGACAGUCCAGCAGGACAGCAGAUGGCAAGUAGACAUCAUGGUGAUCAUUCUGAAAUGUAUGGAAAUAUCAAAUCACUCUGUCAUGUAACAGGAACUAACAGUGUGUCAAAGGUCAACUGUGCUUCAAAAACAAACAAACCCCUGGAAAAAGAGAUCAGAUUUGUGGUCACCAGAGGCGACGGUGGAGAAGAAGGGGACCUGGAUGAGGCAACCAAAGGCACAAAUUUCCAGUUAUAAGAUAAAUAAGUACUAGGGAUAUAAUGUACAACCUGAUAAGUAUAAUCAAUGCUGUUCUACGUUAUAGAUGAAAGUUGCUGAGAAUAAAUCCUUAGAGUUCUCAUUACAAGGAAAAAACAUUUUUUUCUAGUUCUUUAAUUUUAUAUCUACCAGAGGUGGAUGUUCCUUGAACUUAGUGUGAUAAUCCCUCCAUGACGUAAGUCAGAUCACUAUGCCAUACACCUUAAACUUAAACGGUGUCAUAUGUUAAUUAUAUCUCAAUA